rnacentral:rRNA from 1 species
AUGGGUGAUUAACACGUGAUCGGCCUACCUUUCCCAGGGGGAUAACAGUUGGAAACGACUGCUAAUACCGCAUAACGUUGUAAAAGGGCAUCCAUUUGCAACCAAAAGAUAAAUCUGCUGAAAGAUGGGCUCGCGGCCGAUUACAUAGUACGCGGGGUAACGGCCCACCUAGUCAACGAUCGGUAGCCGGACUGAGAGGUUGAACGGCCACAUUGGGACUGAAACACGGCCCACACUCCUACAGGAGGCAGCAGUGGGGGAUAUUGCACAAUGGGCGAAAGCCUGAUGCACCGACUCCGCGUGAGGGAAGACGGUCUUCGGAUUGGAAACCUCUGUCUUUGGGGAAUAAAUCACACGGUACCCCAAGAGGAAGCUCCGGCUAACUACUUGCCAGACAUUCCGCGGUAAUACGUAGGGAGCGAGCGUUGUCCGGAAUUACUGGGUGUAAAGGGAGCGUACGCGGGCUUGUAAGUUGAAUGUCUAAUCCACCGGCUCAGCCGGUGAUCGCGUUCACAACUGCAGGUCUUGAGGGACAUAUAGGCACGCGGAAUUCCUAUUGUAUCGGUGAAAUGCCUAUAUAUUACGAAGAUCACCAGUGGCGAAAGCCGCCUGCUGGGCUUUAACUGACGAUGAGGCUAGAAAGCGUGGGGAGCAAACAGGAUUAGAUACCAUGGUAGUCCACGCCGUAAACGAUGAUUAAUGGGUGUGGGGAGAUCAAACUUUCCGUGCCGGAGUAAACUCAAUAAGUAAUCCACGUGGGGAGUACGGCCGCAAGGUUGAAACUCAAAGGAAUUGACGGGGGCCCGCACAAGCAGUGGAGUAUGUGGUUUAAUUUGAAGCAACGCGACGAACCUUAGCAGGUUUUGACAUCUCGUGAAUAGCCUAGAGAUAGGUGAAGCCCUUCGGGGCAGGAAGACAGGUGGUGCAUGGUUGUGGUCAGCUGGUGUCGUGAGAUGUUGGGUUAAGUCCAGCAACGAGUGCAAACCUUAUUAUUAGUUGGUACGCAAGAGCAGUUUAAUGAGAAUGCAGUUGACAAAACGGAUGAAGGUGGGGAAGAGGUCAAAUCAUCUUGUCCCAUAUGACGUGGGGUACACAAGUACUACAAUGGCUCUAUAACUAGAGGGAAGUGUACACCGAGAGGUGAAGCAAAUGCCAUGAAAAAGAGUCUCAGUUGGGAUCGCAGGCAGCAACCCGCCUGAGGGAAGUUGGAAUGGUUACUAAUCGCAGAUCAGCAUGAUGCGGUGAAUACGUUCCCGGCCCGAGCACUGCACCGCACGGUCAANGGGCGAAUUUCGUUAAAUCCGU